rnacentral:misc_RNA from 1 species
UCCCUGUUGCCAGGGCAGUCUAGCUAGAAAAAUUCAACUAACUAUAAGGGUUGCGCUCGUUGAUGGACUUAACCAAACAUCUCACGACACGAGCUGACGACGGCCAUGCAUCACCUGUCACUGCGGCCCGAAGGCACAGCUUCCUUUCGGAAGCCUUGGCAGGAUGUCAAGCCUGGGUAAGGUUCUUCGCUUAUCGUCGAAUUAAACAACACGCUCCACCGCUUGUGCGGGUCCCCGUCAAUUCCUUUAUGUUUUAAGCUUGCGCUCGUACUCCACAGGCGGGAUGCUUAACGCGUUAGCUUCGCUACUACAAGGGUCGAUACUCAUAACAGCUAGCAUCCAUCGUUUACGGCGUGGACUAC